AGUGAACGCUGGCGGUAGGCCUAACACAUGCAAGUCGAACGGCAGCACAGUAAGAGCUUGCUCUUACGGGUGGCGAGUGGCGGACGGGUGAGGAAUACAUCGGAAUCUACUUUUUCGUGGGGGAUAACGUAGGGAAACUUACGCUAAUACCGCAUACGACCUACGGGUGAAAGCAGGGGAUCUUCGGACCUUGCGCGAUUGAAUGAGCCGAUGUCGGAUUAGCUAGUUGGCGGGGUAAAGGCCCACCAAGGCGACGAUCCGUAGCUGGUCUGAGAGGAUGAUCAGCCACACUGGAACUGAGACACGGUCCAGACUCCUACGGGAGGCAGCAGUGGGGAAUAUUGGACAAUGGGCGCAAGCCUGAUCCAGCCAUACCGCGUGGGUGAGGAAGGCCUUCGGGUUGUAAAGCCCUCUUGUUGGGAAAGAAAAGCAGCAGGUUAAUACCCCGCUGUUCUGACGGUACCCAAAGAAUAAGCACCGGCUAACUUCGUG
rnacentral:rRNA from 1 species